rnacentral:rRNA from 1 species
CAGUAACGGCGAGUGAAGCGGCAAAAGCUCAAAUUUGAAAUCUGGCUCUUUUAGGGUCCGAGUUGUAAUUUGUAGAAGAUGUUUCGGGUGUGGCUCCGGUUUAAGUUCUUUGGAAUAUUACAUCAUAGAGGGUGAGAAUCCCGUAUGUGACCGGCAGCCUUCGCCUAUGUGAAACUCUUUCGACGAGUCGAGUUGUUUGGGAAUGCAGCUCAAAAUGGGAGGUAUAUUUCUUCUAAAGCUAAAUAUUGGCCAGAGACCGAUAGCGCACAAGUAGAGUGAUCGAAAGAUGAAAAGCACUUUGGAAAGAGAGUUAAACAGUACGUGAAAUUGUUGAAAGGGAAGCGCUUGCAACCAGACUUGCACGCAGUUGAUCAUCCGGUGUUCUCACCGGGGCACUCUGCUGCGUUCAGGCCAGCAUCGGUUUUGGUGGUUGGAUAAAGGCCUUGGGAAUGUGGCUUCCUUCGGGGAGUGUUAUAGCCCUCGGUGCAAUGCAGCCUACCGGGACCGAGGACCGCGCUUCGGCUAGGAUGCUGGCGUAAUGGUUGUAAGCGACCCGUCUUGAAACACGGACCAAGGAGUCUAACAUCUAUGCGAGUGUUUGGGUGUUAAACCCAUACGCGUAAUGAAAGUGAACGGAGGUGAGAACCCUUAAGGGUGCAUCAUCGACCGGUCCUGAUGUCUUCGGAUGGAUCUGAGUAAGAGCAUAGCUGUUGGGACCCGAAAGAUGGUGAACUAUGCGUGAAUAGGGUGAAGCCAGAGGAAACUCUGGUGGAGGCUCGCAGCGGUUCUGACGUGCAAAUCGAUCGUCAAAUUUGCGCAUAGGGGCGAAAGACUUAUCGAACCAUUGAACACCUACUAGGUGGUUAAGAGGCCUUAGUACGGCCUAGUCCUCACCGAGGGCGACAUUGUCAAAUUGUUCGGGGACCUCCUGAUAACUCUCAGACUACCGCAGCCCGCCCGAAAGGGGGGUGCGCACCGGGCUAACGACCCUGGGGAUGGUAACAACGUCUGGGUAGGGAAGAUCCGCAGCCAAGUCCUACCGCCCUCCGGGGCCACGGAUGCAGUUCACAGACUUGAAGGCAGUGGGCUCCCCCGGGAGCUUAAGAUAAAGUCGAACCCCCCGGAGACGGGGUGGAGGGAGGAGAGUGCGUCGCACUCAGAUCCUC